rnacentral:rRNA from 1 species
AAACCAGCACCUCAAGUGGUCAGGAUGAGUAUUGGGCCUAAAGCAUCCGUAGCCGGUUUUGUAAGUUUUCGGUUAAAUCCAUACGCUCAACGUAUGGGCUGCCGGGAAUACUGCAAAACUAGGGAGUGGGAGAGGUAGACGGUACUCGGGAGGAAGGGGUAAAAUCCUUUGAUCUCUCGAUGACCACCUGUGGCGAAGGCGGUCUACCAGAACACGUCCGACGGUGAGGGAUGAAAGCUGGGGGAGCAAACCGGAUUAGAUACCCGGGUAGUCC